GCUCGAGAAGCUCAGAGGUUGAGCGGAACGUUGAAGUUGUUUAGUCGUGAGUUCGAAUCCCACCUUGGGCA
rnacentral:tRNA from 1 species